CCGAGGAAUGUGACAUUUAGCAUGGGGAUGGCUCAUAAUGAAAGCUAGAGGUUGUCUGGGGUCACUCAGCAGUCGCUGUAGAUCCAGCCUGUUUUGGCUGGCCCUGCUGAAAAGGAGCCUCUGGCCUACAGGCUCCUGUCCUGAAAGAUAAACCAGAUUAAGGGUGGGUAGAAAUUCAGCCAGCUCAAGUGAACAGCACAAGAUCAGGGUAGGUAAAACCAUAGCCCACAAUGUACUCUCAUCUAGAAAAAGGCUCUUUACAGGUGGAAUUAAGUGAAAAUGAAGUCAGUACCAUCAACUUCAACCCAGUAUGACUGUUGUCCUUAUAAAAAGGUAAAAUUUGGAGACAGAUAGACAUACCAGGGAAGGUAACAGGGACAGACAGAGGAGAAGAGGGCCAUCAACAAGCCAACAAGGGAAGCCCGGGACAGAUCUUUCUUCACAGUCCACAGGGAGAAGCAAGCCAACACCCGCCUUGGCUCCAGACUCGGGAACUCCAGGUUGUGGCCCUUCCCUGCGGCAGCCCUGGCCAGCUCACUGCUAGACAGACUUCCUGCAGCAACCGGUGCACACACCUCCUGCUUCCUGAAGGGAGGCUGCUCCCCCGGCAAACAAGGCAGCGCUUCCUGUUCCCAGUCUCUGCUUCCAGGAUGUUAGUCUUCCUCCCUCAGCUACACAAUAGCUUCCAAGGCCAACGUCCCUCCUUCCGGCCCUGCCUUUCCUCCACCCAGCACUUCAGCACCCGUCAUCAAAGGAGAUCUCAACAUCCACGGAGGGACCCAUGCAACCCCCAGGUUCAAGGUUCCUCCGCCACCAGGGCUUUCACAUCCACUCCAUCCACCCAUGUUCAGGGCCUCCCCACACCUGUGUCACCUCUUCCACCCCCCCCCAAUGGCUUUACCUGUGACACCAGGAGCACUGGCCUCAUGCCCUUUGACCUCUCUCUCUUCUCCAUCAACCAGCUCUGCCCUUCCUGCCGGUCCCAGUAGGGGACUAGCACUUCUGCCUGCCUGGCCAAGGCUCUCUCUUCCCUUCCUGGAUAUCAUCCCUGCCCUGGGGCAUCACCAGUCACCAGUUAUCUCCCCUCAGCCCUCUGUCCAUCUGCCGUCACCUCUUUCUAGCCUUUUCCCAUCAGUAUUUACUCAGCCAAAUCUAUCUCAGCUUUAAAGAGAGAGUUCUGUACACAUGAUUUUUUUUUUUCUGGAAGAAAAAUAUAAGAAACUGAUUGGCCUGGGUGGUAGUUCAGUGAUAGAGUGCUUGCCUGGCAAGUGUAAGGCCCUAGGUUGGAUCCACCCCAGCCUGGAAAGAAAAAAAAGAAAAAGAAAAAGAAAAAGAGAGAGAGGGAGAGAGAGAGGGAGAGGGAGAGAAAGAAAGAAAGAAAGAAAGAAAGAAAGAAAGAAAGAGAAGGAAAGAAAAAGAAAGAAAGGAGGGAGGGAAAGAAGAGGGAAGGGGAGAGAAGGAGAGAAGGAGGAAUGGAAAGAAGGAAGAAAUAAAGAAAGGAAAGAAAGAAGAAAAAAGAAAAGAAAGAAGAGAAAGAAGAAAUUGAUCAUAAUUAUCUUUGGAGAGAGACUGAAAAGUACAGUAUUUUAUUUUUCAUUUAAUAAAUUUGCUUUAUAUAGCCUUUGACUUUUAACC
rnacentral:lncRNA from 1 species